GGAUGAAUGGCUGAGUGGUUGAAAGCAUCAAUUUUGAAAAUUGACAUAAGCGAAUUUUAUCGUGGGUUCGAAUCCUACUUCAUCCG
rnacentral:tRNA from 1 species